ensembl:lncRNA novel transcript
GGCCUCUUUCUCCCAAGUCCUCCCAGGGACUUGGCAGCUUCAUCUCUAAGGCCUGCAGAGGCUGUGGCUAUGGCUGUCCAUUGUUCUCGCUCCUUGGCUUCAGUUCAGAGCCAUCAAAUCCCUGCAGCUCGCACACUGGAACAUUCAUAUUUUGGAUAAGUCAACAAAACAGCUUCUAGAAAAUGGAAAACCCAGAGUGUGAUCUACCAGGAGCUCCUGGUUUCAACCAGUUCCUUGCUGUACCUGCUGGGCCUGUGAUACGAAGAAACAUCAUGGCUUCAAUGGCAGCCUUGGAAAUGAACUUCAUUGAAAGGGAAUUUACACUGAGGUUUAUGAUUGCUGCUAUGAAAAGAGUGCACAUCCUUUCCUUCGAAACACAAGCCUUUGCUGUCAGUGGAAUACAGCAACACACAAGACAGACACAGUUGCCUUCCCGCUGAGGCUGGACGUCUACAAAGAAACUCUGGACAGCUAUUUGCCAAGGCGAUGGGCACUACAGAUGAGACGCACAAAUGAUAUGACUCAUGGGUGACGCUGGGCAAACCUCGGUGGUUGAGUCCUGUUGGGUUUUCUCAUAGGAGGUGAGUUGGAAGCGGAGACCUACAAGUAGGUCAGAUAGGAUGGUGUGAAAAGAGCCCCACCCAGCCUACAGGGACCACAUGUAGGGAUAAAGAAAGGAGCAGGAUAAUUUCCAAGGACUAGAAUCCCAGCUUGGUUGGAGUUCAGAGCCUGAGAGCAGAAUUUUCUCCAGGACAAGGCAGAAGGAACUUGCGGGAAGCUUCCCCUAUCACCCCUGCUCCCCAC